GGAUAUAAACCUCAAUUUUAUUUAAAAUAACACCCUGUCGCGGUGAAGAUGCGGGUUCGAAUCCCGUUAUUUCCG
rnacentral:tRNA from 1 species